AAAAAAUUAAUAUUUGUAACUCUUUUUGGUGUUCAAAAUUACAUUAUAGGUAGAUGCAUGUAUUGGGUGAAAAGAAAUGGAGAAGAUCAUAUUGAUUAGGUUGUUAUAGAGACAUUUUGGUGUGUAUCUGAAUCUGGCAUAUUUAUAAAUAAAAUAUCUGACUUUGCUCCAAGAGAUGUGAUUAAAGCAUAAUUGCUACCUAUGCAACAUAUUAUAAAAUCCUUUAAUGGGGACCAGCACUGAUCAAAAAGCAGAGGCUUAUAAAAAUUGUAUUAGAAGUUGGCUCAACUGCUCUGUCAAAGACUUCAAAGAACACAUUGAUAAGUCAGUGAUCUAUCUACCUCAGUGUAAAGAAUAUUCCCCAGAAUUCCUCUAAAUAAUUACAGGCAGGGUAAUAUCCUUUGUACAUGAAUCUCUCCGUUUUUUAUAAUGUUCUAAGAAGAAGAAACAUCAGAUUCCUUCUCGGAAUGAUCAGUUUUCAAAAAUCUCAAAGGACUCCUUAACACAUUGAAAUGUGGCUGAAAAGACUCUUAAAGGAAAUUAUACCUGCAUUACUCUAAAAUUCUCUUUUCGGUGCACUAUCAUUAACUGGUUAUAUAGAACGGUUGUCAAAAUAUGACUAGCAGCCAUUUGUUUGUACUUCUAACACGCCUCUUCUACGGUAACUUAGGUGCUAGUUUAAUUAAGAAAUCAAUUACUCAUAGUUACACGAGGACAGGUUAAUCUAAAAAACUAUUUUCCAGAAGCAUUACGCAAUUCAGGAUGUCUGCAUGUAUUGCGUCUGCCAAAAAGUGAUUGUGAAUAUAGAAUUGCUGCUCUGACUAUCGAAAAUAUUUAAUGUACAAGAGAGCAUGUUUGCUGGGGGGGUACUUGCCAGCUAAUAGUGCAAGAUAAAUACAUGUGGUUUGAUUCUGUAACCUAUGUUUAUCACUGGUAAUUGAGAAGCAAUUACACACUGCAGUUGUACUGUUAAACUUAUCUCUGAUCAUAUAUUCCAUUAUCAGGAGAGAUAGAGAUCACAUCUUUAGCUUAUGCCAAUGGUAUAAUAGAUGUUUCUAAAUACAGAGGUUCCUCAACAAAUUCCAUUCACUCAUUUUUCAAUGUGUACUACACCAUUAAAUAAACAGCAGGGGUCCCCAAAAUGACCCUCAAAUAUUACACAACUACAAUUGCUAAUAUGCUUUAGCAGCCUUUAGAAUGUAGAUGCAUGAAUGCAGUUGUAUUUCUAAAGAUAUGGGGGAUCCAGGAAUUUUGUGAACCCCAGCUCUAUAGUUUUUAAGUGAUUGCUUUGCUGUGGCUGAAGACAAGACAGAAAGUGGCUGAUGCAAUCUUUUUCAAGUGGAUCUGUCUUGUUUUACCAUAAUAAUAAACUUCAUCUAAAUCUGACUAGAUAUUGUUUUUUUUUUUUU